GAUGAACGCUGGCGGCGUGCCUAAUACAUGCAAGUCGAGCGAACGGACGAGAAGCUUGCUUUUCUGAUGUUAGCGGCGGACGGGUGAGUAACACGUGGAUAACCUACCUAUAAGACUGGGAUAACUUCGGGAAACCGGAGCUAAUACCGGAUAAUAUUUUGAACCGCAUGGUUCAAAAGUGAAAGACGGUCUUGCUGUCACUUAUAGAUGGAUCCGCGCUGCAUUAGCUAGUUGGUAAGGUAACGGCUUACCAAGGCAACGAUGCAUAGCCGACCUGAGAGGGUGAUCGGCCACACUGGAACUGAGACACGGUCCAGACUCCUACGGGAGGCAGCAGUAGGGAAUCUUCCGCAAUGGGCGAAAGCCUGACGGAGCAACGCCGCGUGAGUGAUGAAGGUCUUCGGAUCGUAAAGCUCUUUUAUUAGGGAAGAACAUAUGUGUAAGUAACUGUGCACAUCUUGACGGUACCUAAUCAGAAAGCCACGGCUAACUACGUG
rnacentral:rRNA from 1 species